rnacentral:rRNA from 1 species
CCUACGGGAGGCUGCAGUGGGGAAUAUUGGGCAAUGGAGGCAACUCUUACCCAGCAAUGCCGCGUGAAUGAAGAAGGUCUUCGGAUUGUAAAGUUCUUUAAUUGGGGACGAAAAAAAAUGACGGUACCCAAGGAAUAAGCCCCGGCUAACUACGUGCCAGCAGCCGCGGUAAUACUUAGGGGGCCAGCGUUGUUCGGAAUGACUGUGCGUAAAGGGUGGGUAGGCGGUGUAGCAAGUGAGAAGUGCAAUACCUAGGGCUUAACUCAGGUGCUGCUUCGAAAACUGCUAUACUUGAGUGCAGUAGAGGAAAGUGGAAUUCCUAGUGUAGCGGUGGAAUGCGUAGAUAUUAGGAGGAACAUCAGUGGCGAAGGCGACUUUCUGGACUGUAACUGACGCUGAGGCACGAAAGUGUGGGGAGCAAACAGGAUUAGAUACCCUAGUAGUC